GGUCGCUUAGCUCAGUUGGUUAGAGCACAGCAUUCACAUUGCUGGGGUCGGUGGUUCGAAUCCACCAGCGACCA
rnacentral:tRNA from 1 species